GCGUCACCCCCACCAGCAGGUGCAGAGGUGCCGUUGCAGCAGUUGGAUGUGAGGCCAAGAAGCAGAAGCUAAGGGAGGGGGUCUGGGGCAUCCCUGGAGCUCAGAAGCCAAGGCCCGUGCCUGCCCCAGGGCUGGUGCCAUACAUAGUUCCAGGUACUGGGGACGGAGGGUAGCCGAUGGGGCCCUGAGCAGGACGUGCCUCUUCUGGACUUGACCACAGAACCCAAGCAUGGUUCAAGCGAUUCUCCUGCUUCAGCCUCCUGAGUAGUUGGGAUUACAGAUGCCCGCCACCGCACCCAGUCACAGAUGGACUCUGAGAGAGAAAAUAGCACCCCUGUCCAAACAUCACAUGCCUGGCGGAGGAACGCAGCCUGGCCUGUGCAGCCGAAUGUUGGAGAGUGCACCUUCCUCUCUUAUUUUGUUUUAUUUCCAGGGAAAGGGAAAGGAAGACAUGCAGUCUCAUUGAAGUCCUUGGGUCACUUUACCCCUGCCCUUGGGUUGAUGGACGAUCAGAUGUCUUCCUUCUCAUGCUGGCUGAGACAUCAAACACCAGAGUGGACUUACUUGGCUCCAGUGCUGGUGAUGGGCACUUCUGGGUGAAUGGAAUCUGGGGUGUACUAGCAAAUUUGCUGGUUCUUAGUGCAGGAUCAUUUGAAAAUUUAUUAUUCUGCCAAAUUGAUCAAAUCACUUUGAA